UACGUAGGGUGCGAGCGUUAAUCGGAAUUACUGGGCGUAAAGCGUGCGCAGGCGGUUUUGUAAGCCAGAUGUGAAAUCCCCGGGCUUAACCUGGGAAUGGCAUUUGGGACUGCAAGGCUGGAGUGCGGCAGAGGAGACUGGAAUUCCUGGUGUAGCAGUGAAAUGCGUAGAUAUCAGGAGGAACACCGGUGGCGAAGGCGACAUCCUGGACCGGUAUUGACGCUGAGGCGCGAAAGCCAGGGGAGCAAACGGG
rnacentral:rRNA from 1 species